AGACAAUAAAAGUAAGAUGGAUAAAAUAAAUUAAAAAUGAAUAAUUCAUACCUAAAUGUGGAGGUAAUGGAAUCGAGUAGGGACAAGAUAAUACUGAGAAGAUGAUUAGGGUUGAUCGGAACGAUGGACGAUCAGAGUGGAGAGCGCGCUGAAAUCGACGCGUAUACAAACGCGCGCUAAUUACUAACAACGAAAAUUAGCGGUUAAUAUACACGCGUACAUAUACGGGGAACGGGGGGUGGUUUGAUUGGGCCAAUUCGAGGCAAUUCCUGGCGAUUGCUGAUUUCAUUGAGCUUGCGCUUAAGAGUGCUUGGCUCAGUGCUACGCCAACUGCCGACCAACAGAGACAUGGAUCUCUUCCUCGGGGUAACAAAAGUACCGUACACCUUACGCGAUUAUGAUCGAUCGGUCAACGCGCGAAUCUCCCGUUCGCGAUUUCGUCCAGUACUAAUUUUUUCUACCUCUGGAUCCUCCGUCAAGAAGAGUUCGUACACGAGAAUGUCGGGAAUGGCUUUCAAUCUGCAUUCUGCAUUUCACAAAUGAAAAAAGAAGCAGUGAAGAAGAAUAUGAGGAAAUUUUAUACAUAUACUUCGCAUCUCUGUGCUGCACUUAAAAAUUUCAAACGAUUAAAAAGAUGACAUAACCAAAAGAAGAAGAGGAAUAUAAACACACGUUAGGAUGUUCGCGAUGAGAUUGAGAUCGGAAGGGGGAGAGAUAAUGGAGAAGAGGGGACAAGUCGUCUACUGAUCACUGGGACCUGCUGAGACAGUGGAGCGAGGAGAACGAUGGCGUUGGACCAUGAGGGGCAGCAUCACCGCGCCCGCAUGAAGCUGGAUUGGCCAGGGCCCCGGGUAUGGGGGCGGUCUGGGCCGGCGUGACAUGGAAAAUAUAAGCCUGUGUGAGUGGCGGCUGAUUAGCCAGAGGCUCGGGACGUAGAGUAGUGGCGAGAGUGUCCCGAUAGAGAGAAGAGAGGACGGACGUUCUCUCGUUUCGAGGGAGACGUCGGUCGUCGGUUCGGUCCAGUUCUUCCAAGGUCCACCGCGAAUAAUCGGCCGGCGCAUCGCGCGAGUUAACGCCGCUUAAAACUAAUCAAAAUUAAUCAUAACCCAGGCAACAAUUGAUCGCAAUUGCCAAGCGCGCGCUCCAUUACGAGCAAUCGG